UGUUGGUUCUUCCGCAACGCUACUCUGUUUACCAGGUCAGGUCCGGAAGGAAGCAGCCAAGGCAGAUGACGCGUGUGCCGGGAUGUAGCUGGCAGGG
rnacentral:SRP_RNA from 2 species